AUGACGGUCAGCAUGUGGACGCUGAGUGAUCCGGAGGCCAAGGAGUGGGUGCUGGAGUACAAGGUGAGCUUUCAGGAGAUCUGGGCCGACGACAGCUACACGGCUGCCGGCCUGACGGAGAAGAACCCCACGUUCGCGCUCGUCCACCCCAUGAAUCCGGACGUGCUCUACUUCUUCCUGGAGGAGCACCUCUUCGGCGUGGACCUGCGCGCCAAGAGGGUUGUGGAGUGCGGUGUGUACGAGAUGGUGGUGCCACCGUCAGGGAAGCCCCCCAACUGUUUCUCCGUCCACGCAUUGGAGCUGCCGAUCGCGCUUUCCCCAGGUUCACUUCCAUCUGAUGUUGGCAGCGGUUCCAACGGCGUGGAGUCUACCCCAUGGGCGUCAUCCGUUUCCCUGGAGGAAGCGCUGAGUCGUCAGAUCGAGUUUGAGGGGGAGGAGGGAUCUUGA
rnacentral:rRNA from 1 species